rnacentral:tRNA from 1 species
GUGACGCCGGGCGGCUUCGCCCGGCGUUCGGAAUGCGAACGCCCCGACAACACUUUGGUGUCGGGGCGUGUGCAUGUCAGGCGCGUCGCGCC